rnacentral:rRNA from 1 species
UUCGCAAUGCCCGAAAGGGUGACGAUGCGACGCCGCGUGAGCGGAGAAGGCCCUAGGGUUGUAAAGCUCUGUCGAGGGUUAUGAAAUAUAGAUGGGUUAAUACCCCAUUUAUUUGACAAAAGCCCAAAAGGAAGCCACGGCUAACUCUGUGCCAGCAGCCGCGGUAAUACAGAGGUGGCGAGCGUUGUUCGGUAUUAUUGGGCGUAAAGAGCACGUAGGUGGUUUUGUAAGUCAGGUGUGAAAGCCUUCUGUUCAAAGGAAGAACGGCAUCUGAAACUGCAGAUCUUGAGUGUAGGAGGGGAGAGUGGAACUUCUGGUGGAGCGGUGAAAUGCGUAGAUAUCAGAAGGAACGUCGGCGGCGAAAGCGACUCUCUGGCCUAUUACUGACACUGAGGUGCGAAAGUUAGGGGAGCAAACGGGAUUAGAUACCCCGGUAGUCCUAACCGUAAACGAUGGGCACUAAGUAGAGGGGUUUU